rnacentral:misc_RNA from 1 species
ACCAGGUAGCAUUCUUCACCGACGUCGAUCGAUGUGCUGCAAUCCGUAAGGAAUCCACCACAAUCGAUACGAACGUCGUUCGCACAUAGCGUUGAACGCUUUAUUCCGAGGGGCAAACAGAGGCCGAGGCCUCAUGCCCACAACAUGUUCCGCAUCCGAGACUUCGAACAUUGCGCCUUGGUUGGGGCUACACGAGCGCAUGCGCACACACACACGAGUGCCAACCACGACGCAUGCUACGAGUUCCAAUCCGCACCACGACACCGAUGGGCGAAGCAGAGCAGAAUGGAAARAGGACGAUUUCGCCGACGUAAUGCCUUAAUGAUAGGUAUCGAGCACAGGAGGCCGCAAUCGAACAGGGCUUGGUGGCCCUUGUUCCGAUCGUUGAAGAGGCGCGGUUGGGAUGUC